rnacentral:lncRNA from 1 species
AAUAGUUGUUCCAGACACCUUGGAGGUCUGUCUCCAGCUCAGAUUAAGUCACCAGGUGGAACAGAUGGCAUGGAAAGCUCAGAGUGUGCUGUCCCAUCAUUCUCAAGCAAUACCUGGGUGUCUAGUAGGGAUGGAGGCUUAGGUGAGGUGGCCUCCUGAAGAAUCUCCACAAGGCCAACCCUGGAGACCAGCAGACUCUCCCUUCCAGGAUCCCACAGCUGCAGUUUGGGAAGCCUCCAGGCCUGGAGCAUGGAGAGGAGAAGAGGAAGGG